ensembl:ncRNA ZC449.10 ncRNA
AGCUACAAUAACAUUUUUUUUAAAGAACUGCAAAAAGGAGUUGCCUGCUGCUGGAAUCGAACCAGCGUCGCCACGGCCACAACGUGGAGUACUAACCACUAUACUAAGCAGGCCGAAAGAGAGCGUACUCGCUGGGUUUUAUCUGCCG